GUUGGGUAGGGGAGCGUUCUGUAAGCCUGUGAAGGUGGCCUGUGAGGGUUGCUGGAGGUAUCAGAAGUGCGAAUGCUGACAUAAGUAACGAUAAAGCGGGUGAAAAGCCCGCUCGCCGGAAGACCAAGGGUUCCUGUCCAACGUUAAUCGGGGCAGGGUGAGUCGACCCCUAAGGCGAGGCCGAAAGGCGUAGUCGAUGGGAAACGGGUUAAUAUUCCCGUACUUGGUGUUACUGCGAAGGGGGGACGGAGAAGGCUAUGUUGGCCGGGCGACGGUUGUCCCGGUUUAAGCGUGUAGGUGUGUGUUCCAGGUAAAUCCGGUUCACUUUAACACUGAGGCGUGAYGACGAGGCACUACGGUGCUGAAGCAACAAAUGCCCUGCUUCCAGGAAAAGCCUCUAAGCAUCAGGUAACAUCAAAUCGUACCCCAAACCGACACAGGUGGUCAGGUAGAGAAUACCAAGGCGCUUGAGAGAACUCGGGUGAAGGAACUAGGCAAAAUGGUGCCGUAACUUCGGGAGAAGGCACGCUGACACGUAGGUGAAGUGAUUUACUCACGGAGCUGAAGUCAGUCGAAGAUACCAGCUGGCUGCAACUGUUUAUUAAAAACACAGCACUGUGCAAACACGAAAGUGGACGUAUACGGUGUGACGCCUGCCCGGUGCCGGAAGGUUAAUUGAUGGGGUCAGCGCAAGCGAAGCUCCUGAUCGAAGCCCCGGUAAACGGCGGCCGUAACUAUAACGGUCCUAAGGUAGCGAAAUUCCUUGUCGGGUAAGUUCCGACCUGCACGAAUGGCGUAAUGAUGGCCAGGCUGUCUCCACCCGAGACUCAGUGAAAUUGAACUCGCUGUGAAGAUGCAGUGUACCCGCGGCAAGACGGAAAGACCCCGUGAACCUUUACUAUAGCUUGACACUGAACAUUGAGCCUUGAUGUGUAGGAUAGGUGGGAGGCUUUGAAGYGUGGACGCCAGUCUGCRUGGAGCCGACCUUGAAAUACCACCCUUUAAUGUUUGAUGUUCUAACGUGGACCCGUWAYCCGGGUUGCGGACAGUGUCUGGUGGGUAGUUUGACUGGGGCGGUCUCCUCCUAAAGAGUAACGGAGGAGCACGAAGGUUGGCUAAUCCUGGUCGGACAUCAGGAGGUUAGUGCAAUGGCAUAAGCCAGCUUGACUGCGAGCGUGACGGCGCGAGCAGGUGCGAAAGCAGGUCAUAGUGAUCCGGUGGUUCUGAAUGGAAGGGCCAUCGCUCAACGGAUAAAAGGUACUCCGGGGAUAACAGGCUGAUACCGCCCAAGAGUUCAUAUCGACGGCGGUGUUUGGCACCUCGAUGUCGGCUCAUCACAUCCUGGGGCUGAAGUAGGUCCCAAGGGUAUGGCUGUUCGCCAUUUAAAGUGGUACGCGAGCUGGGUUUAGAACGUCGUGAGACAGUUCGGUCCCUAUCUGCCGUGGGCGCUGGAGAACUGAGGGGGGCUGCUCCUAGUACGAGAGGACCGGAGUGGACGCAUCACUGGUGUUCGGGUUGUCAUGCCAAUGGCACUGCCCGGUAGCUAAAUGCGGAAGAGAUAAGUGCUGAAAGCAUCUAAGCACGAAACUUGCCCCGAGAUGAGUUCUCCCUGAGACUU
rnacentral:rRNA from 1 species